GUUUCCAUUCACUUCUGGCUUCAUUCCUUGACUUAACGAUUAGAUAAUGUCUUACAGUUCAACUAUAUUUUUCAACGUCCCAAACUCCAAUCUCAAAUCUUGGAACUGCUUAUAAACAAUUUCUCAACAUUUCAAACAUGAUAUGUGAAACCAAAGUGCUCCUUCUUCACCAAUAAUUCUCUUUUACAACUUCUCCAUCUUUUUCUGGUUUCCGAGCCACAAAACUUUUGUGUCAUCUUUCAUUGAGUCAUUUUCUUCAAUCUAUGGUUUAGUCUAAUGGACACUGCUUUUGAAAUUUAUUUUGGCUCCAUUCUUUCGUAUCUCAUGAUCAUCCAGAUGUUAAUACUACAUGCUAAGUCAUUAUAAGAACUUUUUUGCUGAUCUUCCUGAGUGCAGUUUGUGGUGUGCGUGUGUCUAGCUAAUCCUGUCUGCAUAAUAAAAAUAGCCUAACAUUGAUUGAGCACAUACUAUAUGUCAGGAGCUCUUCCAUGUAUUUCACACGUAUUUACUCACUUAAUUCUCACCAGAACCAAAGGAGGAUGUUCUAUUGCUUUUUAUAUUUUUCAGAUGAGGAAACAGAGGCACUGAGAAGUUAUGUGACUUGUCUAAACUCAAAUCUACCGAAUGAGAAAGCUGGGGCUCAAACCAGACAGUCAACCAUCAGUGUCUGAACUCUUAAACUUUUGCUACAUUGCUUCUCCUGUCGCUGUUUGGUUAAUGGAUCAUGCCAUACUACAACUACAACACCCUCAGUCAGCCUGUGACAUAAAGUAUAAUCUCAUCAGUCUUAUUUUCUCGGCUCUCCGUAAUCCAGCCCUACUCGCUGCAAUGUACUUGCUUUCUCCUGGAGUGAUGCUUUCUUGUUCUUGUAUCUUGGCAAACAAUCUUUACACUGGCUUGGCCCCAGAAAUCAUGUAUCCAAGGGCUGCCGCUGCCACUCUCAUCCCCAGAGUGGGGGCCUCUCUGAGGGGGAGGGAACUAACGUGGACAAAGACGUGGACGUGCACUCUACUGUGUUCUCAUCUCUGGAAUGCAAGGGCUUUAUAUCUCUCUAGACAAAUCACAUAAAAGAACAAAGUAUCAGAUUGGAGACCUUGAAGGAAAAGAAAAAAAAUGACUGCUUAAAGUGUAAGAGUAUUUUUAAUACUUUCUAAUGUCAUUAGAACAUUCUUCUCUAGCCUCAAGUGGGAGUUAGAAGUAGCGAAUAUUGAAAGAAAAAUAAUCAAGCAGGUAUUCUGUCGUGGCCAAAUGGUGUCUCUGUUGUCAGGGCCUCACUCUGAUAGAACAACGAUUUGAAGCUGUUAGUUAUCACCACUGAAUGCGCUCAGGACUGGUCUCCUGGGCUUUAUUAGGUCCAGCAAAUGCUUUAUUUAAAUAAGUGCUCCCAAAUACGAGUCAAACAUGGUGUCUGACUUUGCCAUAGAAAAUUUGGAAAUUAUAUAAUUUUAUAAAGAAUAAUUACUUAAGAUUUUUGAGGUGGGGAAAAAAGUAGAAUUAUUUUUAAACUUAAAAGUGAAAAAAUUGGCCUAACCUAAAGAACAUAUGGAAGAACACAUUUCUGAAUUGCAUACAGCUUAAAAAAAUCCUUCUCCACUCUCAGUUUUCUGCCCCCACCACUGUUAUGCCAAUUUCAGUUCCAAAUAUGUAAAUCUCACCACUAAGGUAUCUGAGAAUGUGGUUGUUCAACCAAAAUCACACCAAAGAUUUCUCAUCCUUGCCAACUUUUGAUUUCCUCCGGUUCUAGAUCUCUCUGUUCAACUCCAUUCACAGCUACUGGCUGUGGGAAGGGAUAGCAGUGAGAGGGGAGACGGAGCUAGGGGUGUAUGAGUGUCUCUGUCUGUAUGUGCAUGUUUGUGUGGUAGUGGUAUUGAUAAAAGGGUGUGUUCAGUUUGGAAGAAGACACAAGAAAGGUUAAGCAAAGUUUUCGAGAGCAUCAAAAUAGUAGUUGAUAGGUUACUCAGAGGGCACAAGACCCGAUUUAAGGACAUUGUCUGAGGAAGGGGAAAAGCAUGGUCUUUGGAGACAGUGAACAGACCCAGAUUCCAUUCUCCAUUCUGCUGUGUACCCCGUGGGUGGCCUUGGGGAAACCGGCUAACUUUUCUAGUUAUCUAAUCUGUACACAAUGGGAUAAUUGUUUCUACCACAAGGAUGCCUUUUAAAACUUCUUAUUUUGCAACAAGAAGUUGCAGAAAUAGAGCAGAAAUAGUGAAAAUGGUUCACAAGUGACCUCAUUUAACCUUAAUUAAUGCAAAAUGGAAAACAGUUGUGCAGAAAUAGUCCAAAAAUAGUGCAUUUUUGAGAUGAAUAGUUUUAUAUAAUUUUAUCAAAUGCACAGAUUUGUGUAACUGCCACCUGAUUGGAAUACAGAGUCCCGUUACCACUUACAAAGUCCUGAGGGUGGGUUGGAAUGUUGAAUAACUCUAAGGGCCAGUAAACUUAUAGAACUCGAAGCAGGAUGCUUUUAUGAUUUUUCCACCUCUAGGAAUCUUAGUUAUGAUAAUUAGGUGGGGUCUUUCUUGUUAAAAGACAUUUUAUCAUGAUAUCUAGUAGGUUUUUCAAAUCAGGUCUUUUUGGAAAUGACAAAAAGAUUUGUUAAAGAUUUCUGAGCUUAUUCUCUAACAAGAAUAAAAUUCAAUUUAUUGUACUAGGACA
rnacentral:lncRNA from 1 species